UACGUAGGGUGCGGGCGUUAAUCGGAAUUACUGGGCGUAAAGCGUGCGCAGGCGGCCUCUUAAGUCAGAUGUGAAAUCCCCGGGCUUAACCUGGGAACUGCGUUUGAAACUGGGAGGCUAGAGUGUGGAAGAGGGGGGUGGAAUUCCAGGUGUAGCAGUGAAAUGCGUAGAUAUGUGGAGGAACACCGAUGGCGAAGGCAGCCCCCUGGGCCUGCACUGACGCUCAUGCACGAAAGCGUGGGGAGCAAACAGG
rnacentral:rRNA from 1 species